UCCUUUUUGUCUGUCUCCUAACCAUUCAUUUAAUCUUAAGAAUUUAAAAUCAAAAGUUGUUUUCGUCAAAUGAAACUUGCGUUCGUGUUACACUAGUUUCCAUCAGCCAGUGACAUCAGCGGACUCAUCAGUGACGAGUCAAUGCACCGGUAGAAACUUCACAGGAUGCAUCCUCGCUUGUCCUACAUGCAAUGGAAGCCGACAACACCCGUGACCACUACUAUUACGUUCCUUCCCUUCACUCCAUCCGCGGUAUAUAUAUAUAUAUAUAUAUAUAUAUAUAUAUAUAUAUAUAUAUAUAUAUAUAUAUAAUUAUUUAUAUAUAAUGUAUAAAAA
rnacentral:lncRNA from 1 species